rnacentral:lncRNA from 1 species
AUGUGUAAGCGGUAGAUAAAGGUGUGGUGUGUCGGGUGAAGGGGAAAAACUCAAGGAUAACUAUUCAACAGGGAAAUCCACGCUCCAGAAAACGCAGUCUUAGGCUCCCUACACCGCAAAUUACACUAGCGCAAACAUGGACGUGGGCACCUAUCCUCACUCAAAGUAUAAAGAGAGUGGGGAGGGGGGAGCGUAAAUGCAUGGGGGCGAUUGGGGUUGUAGGGGGAGGAAAGAAACACUAACAACAAACAAGAAAAUAUACGUAACAUUAAUUACGAAACGGACAAAAACGAGUGAAAAAUAGAGGCACCGCCUUGGAACGGUCUGUAACCUAUAUAAAGGAUACUAUGGGAUUUAAACGCGUUUAGGGCAUUCCAACCUCGCAUGUACUCUAUUUUCAACAAAUUAGAUAAAACAGUGUAAAUAAAAUAACUCCCUGCUGAGAAAGGCUUAGUGACAAAAUUCCAGAUUAUACAAAGUAAAACAUGCAAAUAGGGUCAAUCUAAGGAAUAAUUACACCAAUGUACACAACAACUUGUCUGAAGUCAGAGCACAAAGAGCCUAACUUUAUAAAGAUCACGACUAAGCAAGCUGCAAGACAAAAUUUCACUGCCUCCGUCCGUUUUUGUAGGAUUUAGAAAAAAAAGCAUCACGGAGCCUUGCACUUUAUUAGUCAUCGCAUCAUCAAAUAGGAUAGCUUAGCGACCAACUGCAGAGAGGUCAAUUAUCAAACAUGCACUGUGCUUCGUGAUUUUCGUAUUGAACUCUAUUUUGAUAAAUUUACUAACACAUUUUACAAAUAUUUGAUAAAAAAGGAAGCAUUAUGUUUAAUUUUCCGAAGAUUCUAAACUAAAUCCCCAUAGUAUGCAUGGUGUGUAAGACCAAGAGUUAGAAGUGUUUAAGGUUUGUGUUAUAGUUUCUUUAAAAGUUCGGACGAGCUGUAGUAAAAUUUAGUAAAAGCCUUCCGUAGUUUAUGAUACCGAUAUCCCUGUUGUAAAGACUUUUUGGUAAUAUGAAGAUUUCUAGCAUCAAAAUGCUCUAACUUUGAGCAAGUUCUUGCAAUACGAAUAAGUUGUGAAAUAUAAAUACCGUUUGAUGUCGCUAGAGGGUCAUCUCCAUCCAGGUUGGGGAAGUUGGCAUUUCAAAAUUAAAAUCUUCUUUUUUAUCAUAUAUUUUGGUUUCUAAAUUACUAUUCACAAUUUUUAAUGUAAGUCCAAAAAUAUUUGUCUACAUUUUACUUGUAGUUUAACAACAGCAGGUUAUUAUUUGGUAAGACGUGUUUGGUAGGAACAACACUUUCAUUUCUUUCCGUCUUGACGAUUAAAAAUACGGGAGCUUUCCGGUACAAUUGAAUUUAUCAACCUUGCUUUCAACUUGCACGGUGUGAAGAAGCUAAUCUAUUGCAAUUAGCCUAUACACUCUAUUUCUAAUCUAUUGCAAUUAGCCUAUACACUCUAUUUCUGAAUGAAAGUUAUGGUGAACCUCAUUAUGUGUUUCGACCUUCAUACAUUACAGUUACAAAUAAUUAUAAGUCAAAUUUCAAUAUGUAGAAAAACGCUUGUUAAGAAAAACUAUCUGAUUCACAACUAUUCUUGUCACAAAUGGGUAUAAUUGUUAUUGUUGUUUUAUUAUUCUUUUGCCUAUGAGUUAUAAAUACUUUAUGGCUGUUUAUAUGUGCAAUUGUCAUUGUCUUUGAAGUGAAUGCGGAUAUUGUUCAAAAUGAGGUCGUAUCUACACAUCAUGUUAAAAAGUAGCAUAAAAUACGGGUUACUGGCUAGCUUUUACACAAAAUAACCACUGACUAUUUUUGGUAUUAAAUGACACAUAGGUCUAUGCCGAUUUCUGUUAAUAGUUCUAUCAAAGGAGGCAACAGUCAUAUCUAUGUCAAUUUGCUGAGAAGUUUGUAGAAAGAUCACGAAGGAUCACGAACCAUGGUGACGCAUUUCUCAUUUUGCUUCAUUGACGUAUAUAAAAGCUAAAGAUAUUUGAACAUCUGUCAUAAAUAACUGAUUUUUAAAAGAAAUUCUUAUGUAGAACUAUAAGGAAUGGUGACCUGAAUUCUCGACAAGUGUUUAGUACGGACUGUUCUGGUUGUUCUGACUUUAACGAAGGAUGGGAAGCUGAAAACCAACGAUUUUCCGGGUAUUAAUUUGUAUUGUUUGAUCGGAUACUAAUAGUUCAUCAUAAAUCUAACUCAAUUGACAGAAGAAUACUUUUUGGUUGACAGUGCAUACAGUUUCGCACUUGAAAGUGAGGAAUAAAACCGGACAAGUAUUUGCAUUGAGGUGACAAGUUAUACAUAAAUACGGGUGCUUGUUUACAAUAAACAGCACACUCAUUUAUGAUCUGCGCUUUGUUGAAAAUUCAACGAGGUUCAUGAGCCGUCAAAGACCAGCAAGCGAACGGAAAGAUUGGCCGCACUUACUAGUAUAUUCUUGUGCAUCAAUGUGGAAGACCAAUAAAAUGUUCAAGAGCUUAAAACAAGGAUUUUUUCAAUGCCGCCAGUUCUUCAAUCAGUGUUUAAAAGUACGAAAAAGAGAUGAAGAAACUUCUGCUGUAAGUUUGGAACUGUAACUAUACCUUAAGGAACAACUGCAAUGAGAAACAGAACAAAUAUAUACAUAUUAUGGAUCUGAUUCAUGACGAAAAGCAACCCGUCACUACAGUAUCUAUCUGUGGCUAGUGUACUUUGCGAUCUGUGGCUGGUAAAAUUUGCGAUCUGUGACUGGUGAACUUUGCGAUCUGUGGCUGGUAAAAUUUGUGAUCAGUGGCUGGUGAAAUUUGCGAUCUGUGGCUGGUGAACUUUGCGAUCUGUGGUUGGUGAAAUUUGCGAUCUGUGACUGGUGAACUUUGCGAUCUGUGGCUGGUGAAAUUUGCGAUCUGCGGCUCUGACUGUGUUUGCUGUGCUCAAAGCUUCCAAAGCGUCUAACCUUUUCAUUUUUAUUGCAUUAACGUUUCAGAAGGAAUGGCUUUGAAGCUUUUCUUACGAUGCCAAUUAAGCCUAUAUGAAAUGCACAGACCUGUGUUAUUAUUGCAAAAUUAAAUGAAUAAUUGUUGCUUGAAGUACGAGACUGUUGCAUUGAUCUUAAGCUCUGCGUUGCCAACGUAUCAAUGUUAUUUCCAAUAAGGUUGUUCAUCUGGUUGUUCAUCCAUACCUAGACCGCGACGGUAAAUAGUUCCGCUGAUUGAUUUUAAUAUAGCCGGAUGCCAAAGACAUAAUUAACUGUAUUGUAUUUUAAAUCACUUGAAAAUAUGCUUUGAUAUUUUAUAAUCUAAAUAGAAAAAUAAUCGAUACAAGAACUAAUUAGACGCUUUAAAUGACGAUAUUCAGUUUAUUUAUCAAUGUUUUCUUUAAAAAAAAAGGGCACUUUAUAUAGAUGUUGAGAUUUCAUACUUGCAAGUGAACGGUUCAUGUGAAUAAAGAGCUUAAUAAACAUUUUUUUUUACAAAUGGCAUCAUGUCAUUUUUCUAAAGACAGGUAGCUUUAAAAUACCCCCAGAGCAGAGUUUAUUAGCAUGCUACGUCAAUAUUGACAACAACUUGAAGAUAAAGUAAACAUAUCUAUUACCGUUUUGGGGGUUGUAUUAAAACAAUACAAUGAUAUUCGAUUAACUUUAAGUGUUUAAGCAAAGAUUAUGAUGAUCGUAAAGAAGAUGGCUUUUCUGCCAUGAUUGUUUUAUUUGUAUUUUGAUAUCAUCAUAAUCACCACCACAACCACACUCAUCAUCAGCAUCAUCAAUAGAAGUAGUACAAGCAGCAGCAUUAGUAGUACUUUACGUGUAUAAAUUUUAGUUAUAAUUAAGCAACAGAUUUUACUGCUUUGCUUACAAAUAAUAUACGAUGGUAAAAUUCAACAACAACACGUGAAUAUUUAUCUUUUAGCAACGUUUCGGCGCUUACGCCUUCAUCAGGAUAAAUACAUAAUAAAACAACGGACGUGACGUCAUGAAGUAAACGUUACGUUGAAUGGCGGAAAAACGUAUAGAUCUACUGUUUUUUUUAAAUAUUACAUAAAUUAAUGUGAAUAAUAAAUAGCAAGUUUAGUACAUUACGGAUAUAAGAAUACAG